UGGGGAAUAUUGCACAAUGGGCGCAAGCCUGAUGCAGCCAUGCCGCGUGUGUGAAGAAGGCCUUCGGGUUGUAAAGCACUUUCAGCGGGGAGGAAGGCGGUGAGGUUAAUAACCUCAUCGAUUGACGUUACCCGCAGAAGAAGCACCGGCUAACUCCGUGCCAGCAGCCGCGGUAAUACGGAGGGUGCAAGCGUUAAUCGGAAUUACUGGGCGUAAAGCGCACGCAGGCGGUCUGUCAAGUCGGAUGUGAAAUCCCCGGGCUCAACCUGGGAACUGCAUUCGAAACUGGCAGGCUAGAGUCUCGUAGAGGGGGGUAGAAUUCCAGGUGUAGCGGUGAAAUGCGUAGAGAUCUGGAGGAAUACCGGUGGCGAAGGCGGCCCCCUGGACAAAGACUGACGCUCAGGUGCGAAAGCGUGGGGAGCAAACAGG
rnacentral:rRNA from 1 species